rnacentral:sRNA from 1 species
GCCGGGUAUGGUGGCUCAUGCCUGUGAUCCCAGUGGCUCGGGAGGCUGAGGCAGGAGGAUUGAGACUUCAAAGUCAGCCUCAG